UAGGGAAUCUUCGGCAAUGGACGAAAGUCUGACCGAGCAACGCCGCGUGAGUGAAGAAGGUUUUCGGAUCGUAAAACUCUGUUGUUAGAGAAGAACAAGGACGUUAGUAACUGAACGUCCCCUGACGGUAUCUAACCAGAAAGCCACGGCUAACUACGUGCCAGCAGCCGCGGUAAUACGUAGGUGGCAAGCGUUGUCCGGAUUUAUUGGGCGUAAAGCGAGCGCAGGCGGUUUCUUAAGUCUGAUGUGAAAGCCCCCGGCUCAACCGGGGAGGAUCAUGGGAAACUGGGAGACUUGAGUGCAGAAGAGGAGAGUGGAAUUCCAUGUGUAGCGGUGAAAUGCGUAGAUAUAUGGAGGAACACCAGUGGCGAAGGCGGCUCUCUGGUCUGUAACUGACGCUGAGGCUCGAAAGCGUGGGGAGCAAACAGG
rnacentral:rRNA from 1 species